ACUCAAACAAGCAAGCUUAAUUUGAGCAAAACCAAUCAAGAAUGGCAGCAACCCAAAUCCCAGAGGUGGUUCUAGAAUCUUCCAACGGCCGCAGGACCAUGCAUGUGCUUGGCUUCGGCACAGCAUCCAACAACUUACAACCACAAGUGUUGAUCGAAGCAGUUCACGAGGCCAUCAAGCUCGGUUACCGCCACUUCGACACAGCUUCAGUUUACGGAUCAGAGCAGAGUCUUGGAGCAGCCAUAGCACAAGCACUCGAGCUCGGCCUCGUGGCUUCUCGGGACCAGCUCUUCAUCACUUCCAAGGUUUGGUGUAAUGAUGCUCACCCUCACCUAGUCAUUCCUGCUCUCAAGAAAUCGCUCCGGAAUCUUGGCUUGGAGUACCUUGAUCUCUAUCUGAUCCACUGGCCUAUCAGUGCCAAGCCUGCCGAGUUGAGUCAGAUAGAGGACAAGGACCCAAUGCCGACGGAGGAAGAGCAAAUGCCGAUGGACUUCAAGGGUGUGUGGGCUACUAUGGAGGAAGCUCAGAGACUUGGCCUCACACCAAGUCCAUUGGAAUCAGCAAUUUCUCUACCAAGAAGACUCAGCAUAUGCUCUCUUUCGCUACCAUUCCUCCUGCUGUCAAUCAAGUUGAGAUGAGCCCAUUUUGGCAACAGAAGAAGCUGAGGAACUUCUGCAAGGCCAAUGGUAUACUUGUGACUGCCUUCUCCCCAUUGGGUGCCAUAGGAACCAGUUGGGGCGCUAAUCAUGUUCUCGAAAGCAAAGUGCUUAAUGAAAUCGCCGAGGCUCAUGGGAAGUCUGUUGCUCAGAUUUGUAUCGGAUGGGUUUAUCAGGUGGGGGCAACUCUUGCAGUGAAGAGCUACAACAAGGAGAGGUUGAAGCAGAAUGUGCAGGUGUUCGACUGGGAACUAACAGAAGACGACCUUGAGAAGAUCAAUCAAAUCCCACAGCGCAAACAGAUGACUCGAGAAGAAGAAUUGGUUACGGCUACUGGACCUUACAAGUCCCUUGAUGACUUGUGGGACGGAGAGUACUAAUUUUGCUCUUUAUGAAAAUGUAUGUCUGUAUCAAAAUAAGGGUGCCAACUAGGUUAUGUAUCUAUGGCAUGCAUUGUAUCAAAAUUGGCAUCCAGAAUUUGUUUGCAAACAUGCAUGGAUCCAAAACUCUGUUCUUGAAGCUGAUCGAGCUGCGGGGCUUGUUCAAUUCUAUGGUCUCUAGCAAGCUUUGGGAUAACGAUAUAAGAUAUAUAAAAGUUGGG